rnacentral:rRNA from 1 species
AGAGGGGAGUGGAAUUCCGCGUGUAGCAGGUGAAAUGCGUAGAUAUGCGGAGGAACACCGAUGGCGAAGGCAGCCCCCUGGGAUAAUACUGACGCUCAUGCACGAAAGCGUGGGGAGCAAACAGGAUUAGAUACCCUGGUAGUCCACGCCCUAAACGAUGUCAACUARYUGUUGGGRGCUU